rnacentral:lncRNA from 1 species
CUUGUGUGUUUGGACUGGGGGAGUCAGGAAAGAAACUGCUCUGAGGUGGUUCUUUAAAGGCUUAGUGGUUCCUCACACCAAUUACCGUCUUUCUGCUUUGAGAGCCAGAAAAGCGUUUGGCUUCGUUGUCAUUUCACGCAGCUGCUGGUAGGGAAGUCUGUGUGCAAUGGUGGCCUGGUGGUGAAGCAGCCCUGUGUCUUUCUGUCUGCCCCAGGAGCUGCUUGGGGGCCCAGAGCACCUGGGGAGGGACGGAGCUGGGCUUUGAGAGCAAAAGGAUCUGGUGUUCCCAUGGACAGCACGCUGGGAUGCAGGGUUGCUCCUGCCCUUCUCAUGGCAAGCUCCCCAAAAGGACUGAAAAUCUCCUAAGCAACCUGGCUUACCCUGGGUACCAACCUGGCUUCGUUCACCAAUAGAGAAUGAAUUAUUUGCAUCCAUUUCCAAGAAGCAGCUGUGCUUUUGAGGGAAUACGGACCCAUUUGGCUUAUUUCAUCAGUCUGAAAGUUGCCGGAAAGGAUGGAGGAAGGAGCUCUGAUAACGGAAUAAACUGUACAGAAGAUGUGAAAAGGCAGCUGCACUCCCUCUGGAAGCAAAAACAUUUGUUUCAGGCCUUUCUAGCAGGUUAUGUAUGGAGAAGUGGGCACUCCUGCACUCUUCGGAGCAUGGC